rnacentral:rRNA from 1 species
UACGGGGGAGGCAAGCGUUGUUCGGAUUUACUGGGCGUAAAGGGCGCGUAGGCGGCCAGCACAAGUCAGUUGUGAAAUCUCCGGGCUUAACUCGGAAAGGUCAACUGAUACUGUGCGGCUAGAGUGCAGAAGGGGCAACUGGAAUUCUCGGUGUAGCGGUGAAAUGCGUAGAUAUCGAGAGGAACACCUGCGGCGAAGGCGGGUUGCUGGGCUGACACUGACGCUGAUGCGCGAAAGCCAGGGGAGCGAACGGG